GGAAGUAAAAGUCGUAAACAAGGUCUCCGUAGGUGAACCUGCGGAGGGAUCAUUACAGAGUUCAUGCCCUACCGGGUAGAUCUCCCACCCUAUGUUAUUAUUACUUUGUUGCUUUGGCGGGUCGUUAGGCUCCGGCCCGACUACCGGCCCCGGCUGGUAAGCGUCCGCCAGAGGACCCAAAACCCUGAAUAUUAGUGUCGUCUGAGUACUAUAUAAUAGUUAAAACUUUCAACAACGGAUCUCUUGGUUCUG
rnacentral:misc_RNA from 1 species